AUGGGUGGAAGCCUGAUGCAGCCAUNCCCGCGUUGUGAGGAAGACGGCCUUAUGGGGUGUGUAAACUACUUUUAUGCUGGGGAUGAAACCUACUUACGUGGUGAAGUGAGCUGAAGGUACCAGAAGAAUAAGCACCGGCUAACUCCGUGCCAGCAGCCGCGGUAAUACGGAGGGUGCGAGCGUUAUCCGGAUUUAUUGGGUUUAAAGGGUUCGUAGGCGGCUUAAUAAGUCAGUGGUGAAAUCCUAUCGCUUAACGAUAGAACUGCCAUUGAUACUGUUAAGCUAGAAUAUGUUUGAAGUAGCUAGAAUGUGUAGUGUAGCGGUGAAAUGCAUAGAUAUUACGCGGAAUACCAAUUGCGAAGGCAGGUUACUAAGACAUUAUUGACGCUGAUGGACGAAAGCGUGGGGAGCGAACAGGAUUAGAUACCCUGGUAGUCCACGCCGUAAACGAUGGAUACUUGCUGUUUGAUCGUAAGAUNGAGUGGCUAAGCGAAAGUGAUAAGUAUCCCACCUGGGGAGUACGAUCGCAAGAUNGAAACUC
rnacentral:rRNA from 1 species